CUCCUCCUCCUUCCCUUUUUGAGACAUUUUUCACUGCACAUUCUGCACUAAAUGGAACUUUCACCUAUCACCCUUCUCUAAAUAAAUGCAACCCUCCACCCUCAUAAUUUCCGUCGCUUUCUCAUCUCUGAUUCUCAUGUCAAAAGCGACUCCUCCUCUCCUCUCUCACUCCCUAUCCCCCCCUUGUUUUUCUACCCCUCACUUUUCCCAUUUCCCUUUGCUUUUAAUCUCUCCUAAUUCAGGAUUUAGGGUUUCUUUCAUAAGGUCUUUUAAAAGUCCAUAUUAUUUUAUGUGAUUUUUUUUUAUUUUUCCCAAAUAUUAUUUCCUUUUCUAGAUAGUGGGUUUCAUCAUGUGUUUCUGAUCUCCUUCCAUUAAAGCUAGGGUUUUUGCAAAAGUAGCCUGGAUGGGUCAAAAGCUGGAUUUCAUCAUGUUUCGAUUGAAAUAAGAGCCACCAAUUUAAUAGCAUUGUGAGGUUUGUUUGCUUCACUGAAUUAUAGCUAUAAAUUUUUUUCUAUGCCUGCAUUUAAAUUUAUCAACCAAAUAUUUUCACUUUGAGAUUUACUAAAUCCUCAUUGAUUAAUGUAUCACUCAUAGUUUAAAGCUGUGUACUUUUUUUUCCGUUUCUACAGUAAUCUUGCUGAUAUUUAUUAUAGCACUACUUUGAAUCCACUUACAAAAUACUCUCUCUCUCUCUCUCUCUUCUUCUCUGCUAAUAAAUAUCUAUGGUCAUGUGUUUUGAUCCACAUCUUGAGUUUGGAUUCAGAUUUAUGAAGUCAUAAGGUAUUCUUCUUGUUUCAUAUUGUAUCAAUCACUUUCAUUUAAGUAUAUGCAGCUAAUGCUUGAGUUAGUUACAAGAAUAAUUGAUCUAAAACUAUAUGUUUUUGUACCUUUUUAGUUUGUCUAUGUUAUGCUAGAAAAUCAGAUUUAAAUAUUAUGGCUGUUUGUUUGAGAAAAUAGGAGCUUUAUUGAGAUCAGAAUAGAAAUGUGUUUGUUAGCAUUGAGGGAUGGUCUAAAAGAGCUUCUUUCAGCCCACUCAUGGCUGAGAUUUGGGGUUGAACUAGCUGCCGACUCAUUCGUUUAACCAUUCCGUAGAAUGCAAGGAGCUUGUGCUACUGUGGUUGAGUGAAUGACGCGGGAGAUAGUUUCACGUCCCUCUCCGUCUAUGUUUGGACUGAAGGGAGCUCCUCUUGCUGUUCCCUCCAUCUUGUUUCGAUAGGAUAUCGCCUUGUUUCAUUGUUGACAUAUCUAGUGUUUAUUAAUAACUCGAAGUCAUGUUAUCUUUGUUGUUUGCAGCGUUCGUUAUAAAUUUUGUUGUUGUUGUUGCUGUUGCUGUUAAUUUGUAGAUAAAAUGGUUGUAAAUUGAUUGGAAUCUCUGUUUGAUUCCCUCUCUGGUUUCUGAAAAUGGGAUUUCAUACUUCAAACUAUUGAAUUGCUUCCUAACUACCAUAGAUUCGUCAUUUACUAAUUUCGAGAUUGUCUGUUACUCUUUGCCAAAACGAAAUCCACCAAGUAUCAAUAAUGCUAGACGGUGCGAGUGGAGUGCUUUCACAGUGGGGUUUCUUGCUGCCUUUUUCAGGUCAUAUUAGUUCCCCUUUUCACCGAGCCCGUUUUCUUUUUACAAGUUCCUAGGUUUUCUUUUACUGAUUCACUUUAUUCUCAGUAUAGCCAGGAUACCAUUCACCAUCAUUUUUACAUCACAAGAUGAUGAGUUUCUACCACCAUGAAUGCAGUGUUUAAGUGCGAAUCCGGCCCACCAUGGCUUUAGAGGUUCGUUGUGGACUAUCUACGAUGGCUCUCAGGUGCUGAAUUAUUGGUCUAGUUUUCUUUUCUAGCUAUUUUAUUGUGUAAACAUGUGGUGACCAAUUGCUCAUCGAGGUUGCGAUUGCUCGGAUCGAGUGAAGCCUAUUUUGGAUCAACGUCAAUCGACAUAAGGCGGGGCUUCGAUUGAAGGUGUGGUAUGUUGCAUUAUUACAUAAGGCAAAGAGAUAAGAUAGAUGAUGGAGGAUCUUGGUGGUCAUGGUUAAAGAAAUGUGGUGAUGGUACAGGUUUUUUAUUUGAAUGCAACUCAAAGUUUGGAGCAGUAUAUGUCGGCUCUGCAUGUGCUACUGCUUCUUUAAUGUUUGUAAAUUCUGUACCCUCCCAUUUUUUUGCUGUGAAAUUUAAUUUGAUAAAUCAA